GGCACUACUGCUCGCAGUGAAGUUGCUGGAGUUUGACUAACACAUCAACAUGGGUCUCAAUGAGUCUUUGUAGUGGAUGUUGGCGACAGUUGGUCCACUGUAGGAGUGGGAUGUGCAUCAAGAUGGGAUCUAUCGAUCCUAGCAGAAUGGAGUAGUCUUAUAGGAUUUAAGAGGCUAAGUCUUUAAGUCUAUGGCCAUAGCAAUGUGAUUGA
rnacentral:lncRNA from 1 species